UACGUAGGGUGCAAGCGUUGUCCGGAAUUAUUGGGCGUAAAGAGCUCGUAGGCGGUCUGUUGCGUCGGCUGUGAAACCCGAGGCUCAACCUCGGGCCUGCAGCCGAUACGGGCAGACUAGAGUGUUGCAGGGGAGACUGGAAUUCCUGGUGUAGCGGUGAAAUGCGCAGAUAUCAGGAGGAACACCGGUGGCGAAGGCGGGUCUCUGGGCAACAACUGACGCUGGAGGAGCGAAAGCGUGGGGAGCGAACAGG
rnacentral:rRNA from 1 species